AAAAUGGAGCGAGAGGGUCGAACCUCCUCGCGGCGGCGCUGUUCCCGGCAGCCUCCGCUCUCCUCGCGGUCCUGCCUCCUCCGCAGCCACCAGUUCGAGGUCGCCGCCGUCAGAAGGUGCCCCGGCCUCCCAGAUCGGGCCGCCGCCGCCGGAAGCUGCCUCCGGCCUCCGUCGUCCCCUCGUUGCCAUGGCCGGAUCCUCCUCGCCGCUGGCUCAUUCAGCCCCGACUACAUCACCAGGCAGCCACGAUGAGCACCAUCAAAGCUUAGAUCCCACCCCUCUCCCCGUGCAUAAUGAUCUAUGGUGAGACAUCUGCACAAUCCUGUAGUUGGUUCUUUACUUUGGUGUAGCUAAGUUUACUUUGGUGUUCUUUAUGAGCUCGCGCUUCCUCGGAAUCAAACAUUUCCCCCCUUCCCCAUGCAUGUCUUCUGUAAGAUACACACUUCUUCUGAGUAAGAUACUAGUUGGUCUCUAUGUUUAGUUAAUCAUCUGUUCAUGUUUUAUCUCAAUGCCUGAACUAGGUAAUGAAGCCACUUAAGAAUAUCCUAGAGUUGACGGCCGGACCUGCCUGCAAUCUAGAUUCGUCGGUGAUGUCAAAUGCUACACUUUAUUGUUGUCAGUAGCCAACGAAUGAGUUCAUUGUUCUUGUUACAAAAAGAAUUUGACUUGUGUGGCUUCAAUCUGAGAUUCUAGAUCUAGCAUCUCACCGUACUUUACAAAAAAACCAUCAAAUCAGUUCAUUUUCUUGAAAGAAGAAAUUUGCACUAGGAAUUUUACAGAUUAUUUUGACGAAUUGGAGAGCAAUCUGCUGCACUCUCAGAAUUGAUGUAGACAAUAUUCGCUUCGAUUCUCAGGCUUGCCCAUCUAGCUCCAGGUCUUGUUAAUAUACUGCAGAUGCCGUCUCUUUGUUUCAAGACAUACUAAGCAUGAUAUUGACACUGCACUUGAUUAAAAACAAUGCUUAUGCAGUCAGCCCAGGACUUUGUUUGAUAGCGCAGUCUCCUACAGAUAUCUGUCUAUAAACUGUAGCACCACACAUCUUCAAACAUGCUAUGGUUUUCACGUUUUAUCUGUCUACACACUUCUUCUGGGAUAUUCUUAAGUGGCUUCAUUACCUGGUUCAGGCAUUGAGAUAAAACGUGAACAGAUGAUUAAGUAGGUAGAACAGAUGAUUUUCUCCUGCGUAUAGCUCCAGACUGAAUUUAGUUGGUUUCCAGUUUAGUUUCUGAGACACCAAGCUGACCAGUUGAGUUCGAAAACUGUGAAAUGGCAUUGAGCUCUCAUCCUAAGAAAUUUUACUGUCUCAAUUUUGGGACAGUGCCGUACCUAGGGCCUAAUCUGUACUUUCAUCAUAUGUGGAAGAUUAAGCUGACUUUGGAACAAGAAUCCUCAGUUGAAGUUGCUGAAAUUGCCACGGUGUUAAAACAUAUGAAGAAUAAAUUUAACAAAUAUUGGAAUAAGUCAUAUGUGUUGCUUUGUGUGCCGGUUGUCUUUGAUCCAAGGUAUAAGCUCAAAUUCAUUGAUUUUCUUUUCACUGAAUCAUUUCCAACCAAAGCCAAGCAAAGGUUUGCCAGAGUCGAAAGACUAGUUCGAAGCUUGUUUCAAGCGUAUUCUUCUCAAGGAAAAGACUCAAACGUAGCAUCUAGUGGGCAAGGUGUAGUGGAUCUUGGAGUGCCUUCCAUAAAGAAUGAUCCGUGGACUGCUUGGGAUCGACAACUUAGUAAUGAUCUUCAGUCACAAAUGAGUACAGAACUUGACAGAUAUUUGGAUGAGAACCCAGUUCCACGUUCUAAAGAAUUUGACAUCUUAAAGUGGUGGAUGGGUAAUGCAACCAAGUAUUCGAUUCUUGCCCGUAUAGCAAGGGAUCUGUUAGCCAUUCCAGCUUCAUCUGUAGCCUCAGAAUCGGCUUUCAGCACCAGUGAAAGAAUAAUCAGUGAUUUCCGUAGCAGCUUGACACGCCUGAGACAGUAGAAGCGCUCAUUUGCACACAGGACUGGUAUCGAGCAGAAGGUUCAUCUGAGUUUAGAAUGGUGUCUAUCAAUGAUCUUAUCAUGGGUGAAAUGGCUGAAAAUAAUACCAGGCUAUGAUUUGGUCGAUACAAAAUGUUGCUAGCUGGUCAGCUGGUCCUUGGAUGCAUGGCCACUGCAAGUCAGAAUCCUCAGUGUAAAGAUUUACAGAGAUCUUGAAAGUAUCGGUGUUGUCAUGUUUGUGUGCCAGACUUUGGUUACCGGGGUCUUGUCAAUUUAGAUAUUGUGCCUGAGAUUCAGAUUAUAUUCUUCUAAUAAGCAACUACUGUCAACUGUUAAACUCAGUAUUCAGUCUUCAGUUGUCCGUUUGAGAAGAUUCUGUGUACAUGGGGUGAAUAUUUUCUUUAUGUUAUUCGUCUUCUGUGUUUAAAUUGAUAAAUUGGUGCAUCCGCAAUUCAAAUGCUGGUUGAUUA